UUGCUGUCACUUAUAGAUGGACCCGCGCCGUAUUAGCUAGUUGGUAAGGUAACGGCUUACCAAGGCAACGAUACGUAGCCGACCUGAGAGGGUGAUCGGCCACACUGGAACUGAGACACGGUCCAGACUCCUACGGGAGGCAGCAGUAGGGAAUCUUCCGCAAUGGGCGAAAGCCUGACGGAGCAACGCCGCGUGAGUGAUGAAGGUCUUCGGAUCGUAAAACUCUGUUAUUAGGGAAGAACAAGUGCGUAGGUAACUAUGCGCACCUUGACGGUACCUAAUCAGAAAGCCACGGCUAACUACGUGCCAGCAGCCGCGGUAAUACGUAGGUGGCAAGCGUUAUCCGGAAUUAUUGGGCGUAAAGCGCGCGUAGGCGGUUUUUUAAGUCUGAUGUGAAAGCCCACGGCUCAACCGUGGAGGGUCAUUGGAAACUGGAAAACUUGAGUGCAGAAGAGGAAAGUGGAAUUCCAUGUGUAGCGGUGAAAUGCGCAGAGAUAUGGAGGAACACCAGUGGCGAAGGCGACUUUCUGGUCUGCAACUGACGCUGAUGUGCGAAAGCGUGGGGAUCAAACAGGAUUAGAUACCCUGGUAGUCCACGCCGUAAACGAUGAGUGCUAAGUGUUAGGGGGUUUCCGCCCCUUAGUGCUGCAGCUAACGCAUUAAGCACUCCGCCUGGGGAGUACGGCCGCAAGGCUGAAACUCAAAGGAAUUGACGGGGACCCGCACAAGCGGUGGAGCAUGUGGUUUAAUUCGAAGCAACGCGAAGAACCUUACCAAAUCUUGACAUCCUUUGACCGCUCUAGAGAUAGAGUCUUCCCCUUCGGGGGACAAAGUGACAGGUGGUGCAUGGUUGUCGUCAGCUCGUGUCGUGAGAUGUUGGGUUAAGUCCCGCAACGAGCGCAACCCUUAAGCUUAGUUGCCAGCAUUAAGUUGGGCACUCUAAGUUGACUGCCGGUGACAAACCGGAGGAAGGUGGGGAUGACGUCAAAUCAUCAUGCCCCUUAUGAUUUGGGCUACACACGUGCUACAAUGGACAGUACAAAGGGCAGCGAAACCGCGAGGUCAAGCAAAUCCCAUAAAGCUGUUCUCAGUUCGGAUUGUAGUCUGCAACUCGACUACAUGAAGCUGGAAUCGCUAGUAAUCGUAGAUCAGCAUGCUACGGUGAAUACGUUCCCGGGUCUUGUACACACCGCCCGUCACACCACGAGAGUUCGUAACACCCGAAGCCGGUGGAGUAACCUUUUAGGAGCUAGCCGUCGAAGGUGGGACGAAUGAUUGGGGUGAAGUCGUAACAAGGUAGCCGUAUCGGAAGGUGCGGCUGGAUCACCUCCUUUCUA
rnacentral:rRNA from 1 species